rnacentral:rRNA from 1 species
UACAGAGGGUGCGAGCGUUGUUCGGAAUUAUUGGGCGUAAAGGGCGCGUAGGCGGCGCCACAAGUCACUUGUGAAAACUCUGGGCUCAACUCAGAGCCUGCAAGCGAAACUGUGGUGCUGGAGUAUGGGAGAGGUGCGUGGAAUUCCCGGUGUAGCGGUGAAAUGCGUAGAUAUCGUCAAGAACACCGAUUGCGAAGGCAGCUAACUAAGUUUUAACUGACGCUGAGGCACGAAAGUGUGGGGAUCAAACAGG